rnacentral:rRNA from 1 species
AUGGGGUGCAGCAGGCGCGAAACCUCCGCAAUGCGGGAAACCGCGACGGGGUCAGCCGGAGUGCCCGCGCAUCGCGCGGGCUGUCGGGGAGCCUAAACAGCUCCCCAUAGCAAGGGCCGGGCAAGGCCGGUGGCAGCCGCCGCGGUAAUACCGGCGGCCCGAGUGGCGGCCACUAUUAUUGGGCCUAAAGCGUCCGUAGCCGGGCGGGUAAGUCCCCCGGGAAAUCNGGNGGNUUAACCGUCAGACUUCCGGGGGAUACUGCCCGCCUAGGGACCGGGAGAGGCCGGGGGAAUUCCCGGGGUAGGGGUGAAAUCCUAUAAUCCCGGGAGGACCACCUGUGGCGAAGGCGCCCGGCUGGAACGGGUCCGACGGUGAGGGACGAAGGCCAGGGGAGCGAACCGGAUUAGAUACCCGGGUAGUCCUGGCUGUAAACGAUGCGGGCUAGGUGUCACCGGAGCUNNGAGNUCCGGUGGUGCCGGAGGGAAGCCGUUAAGCCCGCCGCCUGGGGAGUACGGCCGCAAGGCUGAAACUUAAANNNNNNNGCGGGGGAGCA